AGCCUGCCCGGCCCUUUCCCAUCUCCAGGUGGACUUUCUCUUAGCUGAGCUUCUGAAACCAUAUGGCAAUGAUAUCAUACCUUUGGAGAGAGUCACACCCAUUUCAUGCAGAAUCAGCUACAGUAAAGAAAUGGGUGCUUCUGGUUUAGAAACAAUAAGAAUAAUUUUGUUGAAUUUAAAUCCAGUGGUUGGUCUGGUUGGCAAGUUUUACAAAGAAAAAGUGAUUUUGGUGUCCACUGACCAGAGGAAUCUAUACGAUCCUGGAUGUUAGAG